UACAGAGGGGGCAAGCGUUAUUCGGAAUUAUUGGGCGUAAAGGGCGCGUAGGCGGCCUGGCAAGUGGAAGGUGAAAUCCCUCGGCUUAACCGAGGAACUGCCUUCCAAACUGCUUGGCUUGAGUCCGGGAGAGGUGAGUGGAAUUCCCAGUGUAGCGGUGAAAUGCGUAGAUAUUGGGAGGAACACCAGUGGCGAAGGCGGCUCACUGGACCGGAACUGACGCUGAUGCGCGAAAGCGUGGGGAGCAAACGGGG
rnacentral:rRNA from 1 species